rnacentral:rRNA from 1 species
UACGAAGGGUGCAAACGUUGCUCGGAAUUAUUGGGCGUAAAGCGCACGUAGGCGGCAUUACAAGUCGGAUGUGAAAUCCCUCGGCUCAACCAAGGAAGUGCAUCCGAAACUGCUGUGCUUGAGUACUUAAGAGGAUCGCGGAAUUCCCGGUGUAGAGGUGAAAUUCGUAGAUAUCGGGAGGAACACCAGUGGCGAAGGCGGCGAUCUGGGCCUGUACUGACGCUGAGGAACGAAAGCGUGGGGAGCGAACAGG